CAUGACAUUGCAAUGAGGUAAUGGCCACGAUAGAUAUGGUUUAUUUUCUGUAUGACCGAACCAGCACAUCCACAGAAAUAGACUAAGCAAGAAG